UCAAAAUAGAACCAGGCAUCACUUGAUGCCAACCAAACACCUAAGUACCACCGUUGUUUCUAUGGUUGUUGUUGGACGACGCGUGACCACCACCAUCGCCUAAAAAUUAUUCCGAUUACCAUAGCAUCCGCCGCCUUGGCCUUCGCGUUGUUGAUUGCAACCACCAUGAUAACCCCCUCGAUGGUUAUUGUGAGAUUGGGCGGCUUCUAAGACCAAAAUUAUAGAAGAUGGCGAAUGGUCUGAGUGGAUUUGAGUUGAAUUUUUGGAUUCAUCUUGUUGCAUUUGUUUUUCUUCAAGUAGAAGGAUGGAGCGUAUAUCCCAAAACGAAGGCAGGGGAUCGUGAUGGCAGAUGGUGGUUGUAAUGUAUCGAAAUUUUUGAGAAAUCCAUUCAAUGUGUAGGCAAAAAGGUUGUGUUCAUGCACUUUUGCAUCCAUGUUAUCCAUCAGGUCAGCAAGAUUUUUUAUGCGAUUGCAGUAUUCAGUGAUUUUGGAGUUACCACUGGAUAUGUUACGAAGUUCGUUGUUAAUCUGAAUAAUCUUGUUGGCCUUGUUGUCACGAAAUACCAUUUCAAUAUAUUCCCAAACUUCAUACAUAGUAGCCUUCUUAAAAAUCAUUUGGAAAAGAGAGAUAAUGAGUGUAUCGUACAACCAGGACUUGACUAUAGAUUCUAAUCUAUCCCUUCCAGUGCAAUCAGAAGGGAUACGUUGCUUCUCAUUUUGUGGUAGCAGGUGAUCGGCAGCUCCAUAGUCGUUAUAGUAGAUCUUAAAGAGUUAUCUCGAGAUGUCAUAAUUGAUUCUUUCAAGAUCAAGCACAAGGGGACAAUGUAUUUAAUGUUAAUCGUAGAUUAUGGCUUGUUACAUAAAAAGGAAGAAUAGUUUGGUUUUGGAUAUCUAGUCAUGAUGAUUGAAUGGAAUGAGAGAAGAAGAGGAAAACGAGAAGAAAAGAGGAUGAGAAGAUGAUCGACGGAAGGGAAGCAGUCUACAGGAACCAAGGUUUUUGGAGAGAAACUUUACAUAAAAGUUUCACAGCUCUGAUACUAUGAAAUUCUAAUAAUUUUCCAUGACCUUAUUUCAUUCAUUAUUAAAGAAUAUAUUCAUAAUACAUGGGAAAAGGGCCCUAAUAAAAUGGGCUAAAGUAAUGUGGGCUAUUUAUACAAGAAUACAAAUAAUAAAAGAAAUAAUGAUUUGUUGGAAUUCUUUUCCCCCUUUCUUUGUUAUAACAAAUGUCUAAUUAUAGUUUCUUCACGCAGACUUUCAAUGAAAUAAUAAUAAUCAAAAGAUUCCAUCGGCGUUGAAGAAUGCAAAGAUUCAAUCGAUGUUGAAGCUUUUUUCUUGAGGAUUCGAGGCGGUGAAUUGAAUUUGGUGGAAGCACUGAAGAAUUUGGAAGAAAGAUACGUAUAGAAUACCUUUGAAGUUG
rnacentral:lncRNA from 1 species